rnacentral:rRNA from 1 species
GUGAGUCAUCGAAUCUUUGAACGCAAAUUGCGCUCCUUGGUAUUCCGAGGAGCAUGCCUGUUUGAGUGUCAUGAAAUCAUCCACCUUACCUUUGGGCUUUUGUCCUCGGGUCUGGCUGGGACUUGGGUGCUUGCGUGUUGAAUAGACACGCUCACCUUAAACACAUGCUACUUGAUCAAUCCUGAAAGGACGGUUUGACUCGGCGUUAUAAGUUAUUUCGCUGAGGACACUCGCAAGGGUGGCCGACCAUGAAGUUUUGAUCGUUGCCCCACAGUGUCGCCACACGUAGACAGGGGCUACAAUUCAUUUGACAUCUGGCCUCAAAUCAGGUAGGACUACCCGCUGAACUUAAGCAUAUCAAUAAGCGGAGG